GCCUGUGUAGCUCCAAUUGGCAGAGCGUCUAUCUCGUAAGUAGAGGUUUGCAAGUUCAAAUCUUGUCACAGGCU
rnacentral:tRNA from 1 species